AUGCAAGGCAGGACAAGGAAGAAGGGGGCAGCACCCCGGAGGAAGGCCCUCUCCAGCCCCUGGCCACGACUGGGCCGGGGGAGGGGGGCACUGGAAAAUUUGGGCCUAUCUCAGGAGACGCCCCGGGGCCUUUGCCACAGAGCUCAGAGCCAAAGCUGGAGGCCCGCUGCUCAGCUAGCUCUGGAGAGGGAAGGACAGGCAGCCCACAUUCUCGGCAGGGGCUUUGGGGAAAGCUCUGAGAGAGUGAAAACACCUGGUCACCCACCAAGCACGUCAUGCCAUGUGGCAGGGGAGCAGGAAGAGAAGCAGAGGAGGAACAUCAAUGAUGCCAGCUGAUUGCAUAACAGGCUCGCUGGAAGAAACCAUCACUGGUGACUAUAGCCACACCAAAGACUGACAUGACACUGCUUUUAGUGACAUUGACUAUUAUUCCACUGAUGGACACUUGUCAUGCUGACCUCUAUUGGUCCUUUAUACCUAAACCAACAUCAAGCAUGUUAACUUGUAUGGACUAAACCCCACUCGUACAUAUCUAUGACAUCAGGUGGAUCCCACACUCCAAAGACUUUAUCAUGGGAUCAAAAUCGAAAUAGCUAUGAUUGUUUAGACACUAACGUAUACCUUUCAUUUUGGAUGUCUGUGUUAUAUAUAUGUCAUGAGGGAAUUUAUUGUGUGUGCAUUGUAAAACUCCUACUUGUAUUGUAAGAAAUGCUACUAGUAACAAGGGUACCAACAUCGGUAUGACUCUCCAAAGAGAAGGAGAUAGAAAAGUUUCAGUCCCAGCACAGACCUAGUAACCCUGACCACAAAAAUGAUGUUUAGUGCAGGAGAUGCGGCACAGGGCUGUUUAUUGGACCGAUGGUCCUGAUGUCACUCUUAGAAAAGGGCUGAGAUGUCAGGCAAAAUGCACUUUGACAUUCUAAUUAGGAACCCAAGUUUUUGAAAAUUGAUAAUCUACAUCCAUGUAUAGAUUAUGUUCUUGGCAAUGCCUAUGUAGACAUUAUGUGCCAACGACCAUUGCUGUAGUUACAUGUUAAUAUCAUUAUUGAUCAUUAGUCCUGGAACCCCAUCUUCUUGGGGAAUAUCUUUAUGGGGAUUCUUUCUUGCUCUCUAACUCUAAUCCCAGAAUUCAGGCAGGCUGCUGGAUUUGGGGUCUAUUAGCUUCCACUUCAAGUACUGGAAGACGUUCUGGUAUAUGAAAGCAAAGCCUCAGCAGUAAACUGAGGGCUCCAGGUUGGACAAUCUCUGUGGACGUGCAGUUGUUGACCCUCCUGGGUGGAAUAGGCUAUUGCACACAUACAUGGAGCAAGGGCAAAGUAUUCCCUCAGUUUCCCCUUUUGGAGUAUGUAUUGAAAAUGGGAAAAAAUGAGCAGGCACUAAUGAGCUUGUAGAAAAAGCACAUGGAAUAUUAUUCAUUGACAACUAGGAAAAAUAAGUCACAUCAAACUCCAUAUGAACAAGAAGCUGUAGAAAUUGCUUCUACAUAGAAAGCAAAUCAAGCUUCUGUUNNNNNNNNNNNNNNNNNNNNNNNNNNNNNNNNNNNNNNNNNACUGGGACACGGUGUUUGACACCCUCCUUCGCAGGUGGCUCUGAGUAUCAAGGUCCAACCCUAUUGCCAUGUGGCAGGCAUCUGGGCGGGUAUAUCCCUAAAAUGCAUAAUCAGGACAAGGGAGAGAAAGGAAUUUCCCCUUCACUCCAGAUACAGUCAUCUUUUCUUUGGCUAUGAAUGCUCUGGCACCUUCUUCUAAUCCUAACUGUGUGUGGGCACUAUCUGCUAAUGCACCUGUCCUAUGAUCUAUGGGACUGCUACCUCAAUAAUUCAGGAUAAUUUGAGGGAAGAUCAUUUUCUGAUUAUUUUUAUCAUUACUUUAAACUUUGAUGAGACUUUUAUCUUCGAUUUUCAUUACUAAGCAUUGAGAUCAUUUUUAUCUCUACAAUAUUAUUAAUAAGGUGAGAGUGAAAUUGUUCUUAUUGUUGACAAUCACAAUUACUUUUCACAGCCAGAGGUUUGGCUACAUAUUUUGGAUGUUUACUUUGAAUCACUUGAAGUAUCAAUUGAUGAUGCUACAUGAUUUUUCUAUUUUUAAUUUUACUCCCAAAUUUCGUUACAUUUUAUAUCACUCACCUUUCACUUCAUUUGAUUUUUAAAACAAAAAAGGGGGAUAUGUAGCAUUCCAAGCAUAUUCACAUCUAUGAAAUAUAAAUGAUUGUAUGGUUACUGUGUCUCCAGACACAAGGUGAUACUCUGAUAUUUGUGAGUGGAAUCUUGACCCGGCCACAUGCCUGUUGCCUAAGACAAACUCAUGAACAUUUUGGCUCGGAGUCGACAGCGCAGGUGGAAAUCUACACGCCCAUCAAGGUGUCACCUUCACCUCGCCAUCCAAUCUGAAUUGUCUCUGCUUUGUAUCGUGAUUGCUAUGUGCUUGCAAGUGCUACCCACUUACAGCCUGCAAUAAAAACAGAAGGCGGCCCCA
ensembl:lncRNA